rnacentral:rRNA from 1 species
CAAUAGUGUAUAUUAAAGUUGUUGCGGUUAAAAAAGCUCGUAGUUGGAUUUCUGUUGGAGUCACCCGGUCCGGCGUUAUGACGAGUAUCUGGUGUGACUGCAGCAUCCUCUCAAAACAGGUCACUGCGCUUGAUUGUGUGGGACCAGGUUUGAGACUUUUACUUUGAGGAAAUUAGAGUGUUCACGGCAGGCGUUCGCCCUGAAUAUAUUAGCAUGGAAUAAUAAUAUAGGACCUCGGUUCUAUUUUGUUGGUUUCUAGAGCUGAGGUAAUGAUUAAUAGGGACAAUUGGGGGCAUUCGUAUUAACGCGUCAGAGGUGGAAUUCUUGGAUUGCGUUACGACGAACUACUGCGAAAGCAUUUGCCAAGGAUGUUUUCAUUGA